UUCCUUUUAGCUCUAUUGGAUAGAUCGCGCGAUUCAUAAUCGCCCGGUCGCUGGUUCAGGUUCAGCAAGGGCCAGCA
rnacentral:tRNA from 1 species